CCCUUAGAUGUCCUGGGCCGCACGCGCGUUACACUGAUGCAUUCAACGAGCUUAUAACCUUGGCCGAGAGGCCUGGGCAAUCUUGUUAACGUGCAUCGUGAUAGGGAUAGAUUAUUGAAAUUAUUAAUCUUGAACGAGGAAUUCCUAGUAAACGCAGAUCAUCAAUCUGCAUUGAUUACGUCCCUGCCCUUUGUACACACCGCCCGUCGCUACUACUGAUUGGACGUUUAAGCAAGAUUUUUAAGCACUGACAGUGUGUAGUUCACGCUAUACUACAGUGAGAAGAAGAAGAUCGAGCUUACUUGUCUAGAGGAAGUAAAAGUCGUAACA
rnacentral:rRNA from 1 species